rnacentral:tRNA from 1 species
GGGAUUGUAGUUCAAUUGGUCAGAGCACCGCCCUGUCAAGGCGGAAGCUGCGGGUUCGAGCCCCCCCUGACCAA